rnacentral:lncRNA from 1 species
CGCUCUGGCUACAGUUUAUCUUGGCACUAACAACGGGGACUGAUUGGGCUUCGUUGUGAAAAGGGGGGCCCUGUGGUGCGUUUACAGAGUCUGAGAACACAGAGUUCGUGGCCACUCCCUCACCCAGCCCUGGGCACCAGGUUAUGUUUUAAAUUUGAGCACCUCAGCCAUGGGGAACCCCUUUUGUUUGUCAGCCAGGGCAUAGUUUACCAAUCCCAAAUCUGUAAUCUCUCUCUUAACAAAUCACUUUCUACCCAAAUACAGAUCCUUAAGGGCAGGGCCUCUGGUUCAUUUUUGUCAUCUCCACCUAGCGGAGAGCGCGGCACACGGCAAUGAUACGGGAGUGCGGGGGAAGGGAAGAGUGUGGUCCCUUUAAAUGAUACAGAAGGGAGGUGCUGGGUAGAGGGGGGCGUGGUCCCCGGCUAGGGCUCCACCCCCCCGGACCUGGGUGAGGACAGGCACUUCUGCCUUCUUGCCCCAAUGUUGCAUUUUCCAAGACCACCCUGGCCCGCCAUGCCCCCAUUCUGAGCCUAUAAAAACCCGAGACCCUAGCAGGGCAGAGGCAGAAACUGCUGGAUGCUGAGAGGAACGCAUCAGUGGAAGAAAACAAGCGGCUGGACGUGGAGAGGACGUCAAGGGAGCAUGCCGGCGGAAGAGCACACCACAGACGCCGGCAGGCCACCGAGCGGCAGGACCAGGCGGAGUUUGGCCGGGGCAGUCGGAGGAGAGCUAGGCCACUAAGCAGCUCAACUCCAGGAGAUAAACCAUCUCCCUUGUGGCUCCUCCGUCGGCUGAGAGCUGCUUCCACUCAAUAACACUUUGCACUCGUUCUCCAAGCCCCCGUGUGAUCCGAUUCUUCUGGUACACCCAGGCAAGAACCCAGGAUACAGAAAGGCCUCGGUCCUUUCCACAAGUACCUCUACUUGAGGUACUCAUUGACCUGGUUAACACAAGCUGCCUACAGACGCCAAAACUAAGGGCACCCUGGAACACAGGCUUCAGCUGUAAACAUUCACCCCUGGGCACUGCCGUGGGGUGGGAGCCUGCCUGAGUGUAUGCUCCCCUAGAGGUUUGAGCUGCGGGGCACUGAAGAAGUGAGCCACACUCCCAUCGCACACUGCGAGGGGGACAAAGGAACUUUUCCUCUUUUAACUGGGGCCUCAUCUGGAAUCUCGGAAGGUGAAUGUCUGCCUUCGAAAACCCUACCACCUGUCUUUCUUGUGGAACCAUCAAACUCCAAGUGGACAGGCAACUGGAGCCUCAGAUAAUGACUCCCCUUUGCUAGGAACCCUUAGACAGACCUCUGGGAGGAAUUUGACUGCCGUUUUCUCAAAAACAACGCCCCCUGUCAGCGGGAAGCAGCUAAGACAGGUCAUCGUCCAUAUUCUAAUAGCAGUUAGAUGUACGUUUUCAGAGAGGGGAAAUGAUACAGGAGUGCGGGGAAGGGAAGAGUGUCAUCUCUUUAAAUGAUACAGAAGGGAGGUGCUGGGUAGAAGAGGGUGUGGUCCCUGGCUAGGGCUCCACCCCCACGGACCUAGGUGAGGGCAGGCACUUUCUCCUUCUCACCCAAAUGUUGCAUUUUCCAAGAUCACCCUGGCCUGCCAUGCCCCCAUCCUGGGCCUAUAAAAACCCUGAGACCCUAGCAAGGCAGAGAUAGAAGCUGCCGGAUGCUGAGAGAAACACAUCAGUGGAAGGGAAGAAGAAAAGCGGCUGGACAUGGAGAGGACGUCAGUGGAGCAUGCCGGCGGAAGAGCACACCCACAGACCCUGGCACGCCGGCAGGCCACGUAGCGGCAGGCCACGUAGCGGCAGGCCACGUAGCGGCAGGCCACGUAGCGGCAGGCCAAGGCGGAGUUUGGCCGGGGCAGUCGGAGGAGAGCUAGGCCACUAAGCAGCUCAACUCCAGGAGAAAACCAUCUCCCUUCUGGCUCCUCCAUCAGCUGAGAGCUGCUUCCACUCAAUAACACUUCGCACUGAUUCUCCAAGCCCAGGUGUGAUCCGAUUCUUCUGGUACACCCAGGCAAGAACCCAGGAUACAGACAGCCCUCUGUCCUUUUGAUAACUAGAGGGUCUCAUUGACCUGGUUAACACAAGCUGCCUACAGACGGCAAAACUAAAAGAGCACCCUGGAACACACGCCCACUGGGGCUUCAGCUGUAAACAUUCACCCCUAGACACGGCUAUGGGGUUGGAGCCUGCCUGUCUGUAUGCUCCCCUAGAGGUUUGGGCAGCAGGGCACUGAAGAAUCAAGCCACACCCCCAUCGCACACCCUGCGAGGGGGACAAGGGAACCUUUCUCUUUUCAGUUGGUCUUAAUAAACACUGAGUAAAUGAAUGAUUACGCACUCAGAAAAAUCAGUUAUCCUCUCCCACUCCGUGCCUGGGAAGUACCAACGGGUACUGAAACGUAAUGAGUAAUGUCUAGAGAUUUUCUCCACAGGAUAGAAACAAAGCUCAAAGAGGCAGCAAGUUGAAGAAAGUGUGACACUGUUUUAUUUUUAGGAUUUUUUCCUCUUUUUUAAAAUAAAUAUACGUGUAGAGAGACAGGGUCUCCCUUUGUUGCCCAGGCUGAUCUCGAACUCCUGAGCUCAAGCUGUCCUCCCACCUCAGCCUCCCAAGGGCUGGGAUCACUGGCAUGAGCCUCUGCACCCAGCCCUUAGGAUUUUUUUUUCUUUUUUAAAAUUUUAAUUAUUUUAUAUAUAUUUUUAAGUUCCAGGGUACAUGUGCAGGAUGUGCAGGUUUGUUACAUAGGUAAACGUGUGCCAUGGUGGUUUGCUGCACCUGUCACCCUGUCACUAGGCAUGAGGACCAGCAUGCAUUAGCUCUUUUCCCUAAUGUUCUCCAUGCCCCCUGGCCCAGCCCUCUCCCAACAGGCCCCAGUGAGUGUUGUUCCCCUCCCGGGAUUUUUUUUCUUAAGGAAACACACCACAUCAGGCGUUGAAGUGAGUGUAUUGACUGUCUGAGGUUUGUGUGCACUUUUUAACCAGAAGUCAUGGCUGGGGACACAAAAGCACCUCCUUGCCUAUGUAGUUUUGUUCCUUUACUGCUUUAAACAAGCAAGAUGUGGUUUGCAUUCCUUUCGCUGCUGGUGUUGUUGGCUUUGUGUUUCUCAACAGAAAUAACUUGCCUUGCCUUUGCUCUCAAGGUUGUGAAAGCCCCCCACCCCCAUAUGUUCCUUCCACUCAUUUGUCACCGAGACCCUCAGUGUUGCUAUCUGUGCAUAAUGUGUGUGGGUCGGGUUGUGUCAAGCAUCAGACGACGUCGGUACCUCUCCUCACUGUGAAGGAUGACCCUGUACACACCACUGCUCUAGGCAAGGAUGCGACCCACCGUCCCGGGGUUAACCACAUCAGUGUCACCAUCACAAGGGGGUGACAGCCCUUUACAGAUUACAUCUCCUUUUCCUGGUGAUUCUCCCUCUUAAUCCCUAAAUGAGUCCUGCAAGAUGGGUGUUGAUUCUUCCUAUAGCACAGCUGAAAGAGUUGAAUGGCUCGUCCUAGAGCACACAGUUUGGCAGGGCUGAGUAAAAUGAAACCCAGUGCUUGUCCCUCCAGGCUGCGGCGAACCUGCACUAGAGUUUUAUGAAAGUCCAACUUCCUGGCGAUAGGCAGAAAAAGCAACGAUCACCUUCCCUGAUAUUUUCACCUAGCAGACAGUCUUCAGCCCAGAGAACAUCUUCCCAAAGUCCAAGACAGAAGGUACAUGUAGAAAUGAAAUAGAGGUUCCUCUUCAAAGGGACUUUCCUCCCAGUCUAAUUCAGAAUAGAUAGUAACCUCUUCUAGAAGCAAAGUUUACUCAAAGACCUGUGUUAAUAUUCUUAAAUUCUGCUAGCUGUAAUAAAGAAAUCAAUAUACUCUGUUCUUAGCUCCCACAUUUUAGUCUAGGUAUUUGCCCUGGCAUGCCUGAACCAGUCCAAGCAAGAAUUAGGUCAUAGCCUCUUCCUCUUCCUUAUUUGGAAGUGUUUUUGCCUCUCUCAGCAUUCCACAAGUUACUUCCUCUCUUCCUUUGUUCUCCUCUGCCUUUGCCUCUUUUGGGAAGUUCUAAGUUGCUAGCCAAUCGAGACAAACAGAAUGUAAGGUCCCAUUCCAGCCGAUAGAAACUGGGCACAGCAGUAGGGUAGCUGCGUCAGGUUAUAAAUGACCCUGUCUUUUUUUGUGUGUGCUCUUGUGGCAAGACUGCUAGCGAGCGGCACCCUUUCUGCAGAAAGUAAACUAGCCUUGCUGAGAGA